rnacentral:rRNA from 1 species
GAGUUUGAUCCUGGCUCAGGAUGAACGCUGGCGGCGUGCCUAACACAUGCAAGUCGAACGGACUUAUAACGAAACCUAGUGAAUUAUAAGUUAGUGGCGGACGGGUGAGUAACGCGUGGAAAACCUGCCGUAUACUGGGGGAUAACACUUAGAAAUAGGUGCUAAUACCGCAUAAGCGCACAGCUUCGCAUGAAGCAGUGUGAAAAACUCCGGUGGUAUACGAUGGUUCCGCGUCUGAUUAGCUAGUUGGUGAGGUAAAAGCCCACCAAGGCAACGAUCAGUAGCCGGCCUGAGAGGGUGAACGGCCACAUUGGGACUGAGACACGGCCCAGACUCCUACGGGAGGCAGCAGUGGGGGAUAUUGCACAAUGGGGGAAACCCUGAUGCAGCGACGCCGCGUGAGUGAAGAAGUAUUUCGGUACGUAAAGCUCUAUCAGCAGGGAAGAGAAAAAGUCCACAGGACUUUGGACGGUACCUGACUAAGAAGCCCCGGCUAACUACGUGCCAGCAGCCGCGGUAAUACGUAGGGGGCAAGCGUUAUCCGGAUUUACUGGGUGUAAAGGGAGCGUAGACGGCUGUGCAAGUCUGAAGUGAAAUGCCGGGGCCCAACCCCGGAACUGCUUUGGAAACUGUACAGCUAGAGUGCAGGAGGGGUGAGCGGAAUUCCUAGUGUAGCGGUGAAAUGCGUAGAUAUUAGGAGGAACACCGGUGGCGAAGGCGGCUCACUGGACUGUAACUGACGUUGAGGCUCGAAAGCGUGGGGAGCAAACAGGAUUAGAUACCCUGGUAGUCCACGCCGUAAACGAUGAUUACUAGGUGUCGGGGGGCCAAGGCCCUUCGGUGCCGGCGCAAACGCAUUAAGUAAUCCACCUGGGGAGUACGUUCGCAAGAAUGAAACUCAAAGGAAUUGACGG